UACGUAGGGUCCGAGCGUUGUCCGGAAUUACUGGGCGUAAAGAGCUCGUAGGUGGUUUGUUGCGUUGUCCGUGAAAACUCACAGCUCAACUGUGGGCGUGCGGGCGAUACGGGCAGACUGGAGUACUGCAGGGGAGACUGGAAUUCCUGGUGUAGCGGUGGAAUGCGCAGAUAUCAGGAGGAACACCGGUGGCGAAGGCGGGUCUCUGGACAGUUCCUGACACUGAGACACGAAGGCCAGGGGAGCAAACGGG
rnacentral:rRNA from 1 species